rnacentral:lncRNA from 1 species
AUUCUUCUACUCCUCAAAAACAAAGAAGAAUAACUAUCUACCUCUCUCUCUUUCUAUCUCUAUCUCUAUCUCUCUCUCUCUCUCCUCCGUAGGAACAAGAAGCUGAAGUUUCAUAAAAAAAAACCAUGGAUUUCUACUAAAUCAACGCACAAAAUUCGUUUUUGGUGAAGAUCAAGUUGCUCCUCUUGGUAAGUUUCUAAACUCGUUUUUAUACUAGACACCUACUAGUAUUUUCUACAUAUCUUUUUGUACAGAGCUCUGAUUUAAGUAAUCCAGGACCUUCUGGAAAGGUAUUUCAUAAAUCUAUAAUUUUUAUGAAGGAACCAAAAUCUAAUUUUGUUGGUAUUUAUCUGAAAAAGGAUCAGAAAGUACAGGGAAGGUGCUGUCCAGAUUUCCAGUUUUAGAAAUACUCCAUGUACUGUUGUUAGUAAUUUUAGCAUAACGUUUUGUUCAAAAUUGAUAUGGAGGUGAUUCAAGAUGUUAUGAAACGGUAAGACAUAGAUCUACAACUUUUGUGAAGACCAGAAAGUCUAGUUUGUCCGUGUAGAUCUUCAAAACGGAGUCACAACUCGGAAUAGUGAUACUGUCCAGAAUUUCUGUUUCAAACGUUUUUGGGUAAUUUUCACCAAUAUCAUGUUUAGUUGACUUGUUAAAUCACUGAACUUAUUUAUAUAUUUGAUUAUGUAUUUA